GCACGGGGGCAACCCUGGUGGCGAGUGGCGAACGGGUGAGUAAUGCAUCGGAACGUGCCCAGUAGUGGGGGAUAACUAGUCGAAAGAUUAGCUAAUACCGCGUACGACCUAUGGGUGAAAGCGGGGGACCUUUACCGGCCUCGCGCUAUCGGAGCGGCCGAUGUCUGAUUAGCUAGUUGGCGGGGUAAGAGCCCACCAAGGCGACGAUCAGUAGCUGGUCUGAGAGGACGACCAGCCACACUGGGACUGAGACACGGCCCAGACUCCUACGGGAGGCAGCAGUGGGGAAUUUUGGACAAUGGGCGCAAGCCUGAUCCAGCCAUGCCGCGUGCGGGAAGAAGGCCUUCGGG
rnacentral:rRNA from 1 species